AGUGAACGCUGGCGGUAGGCCUAACACAUGCAAGUCGAACGGCAGCACAGUAAGAGCUUGCUCUUACGGGUGGCGAGUGGCGGACGGGUGAGGAAUACAUCGGAAUCUACUUUUUCGUGGGGGAUAACGUAGGGAAACUUACGCUAAUACCGCAUACGACCUACGGGUGAAAGCAGGGGAUCUUCGGACCUUGCGCGAUUGAAUGAGCCGAUGUCGGAUUAGCUAGUUGGCGGGGUAAAGGCCCACCAAGGCGACGAUCCGUAGCUGGUCUGAGAGGAUGAUCAGCCACAAGGGAACUGAGACACGGUCCAGACUACUAAGGGAGGCAGCAGUGGGGAAUAUUGGACAAUGGGCGCAAGCCUGAUCCAGCCAUACCGAGUGGGUGAAGAAGGCCUUCGGGUUGUAAAGCCCUUUUGUUGGGAAAGAAAAGCAGCAGGUUAAUACCCCGCUGUUCUGACGGUACCCAAAGAAUAAGCACCGGCUAACUUCGUG
rnacentral:rRNA from 1 species